rnacentral:rRNA from 1 species
UAGGGAAUCUUCCGCAAUGUGCGAAAGCCUGACGGAGCAACGCCGCGUGAGUGAUGAAGGUCUUCGGAUCGUAAAACUCUGUUAUUAGGGAAGCACAAAUGUGUAAGUAACUCUGCACGUCUUGACGGUACCUAAUCAGAAAGCCACGGCUAACUACGUGCCAGCCGCCGCGGUAAUACGUAGGUGGCAAGCGUUAUCCGGAAUUAUUGGGCGUAAAGCGCGCGUAGGCGGUUUUUUCAGUCUGAUGUGAAAGCCCACGGCUCAACCGUGGAGGGUCAUUGGAAACUGGAAAACUUGAGUGCAGAAGAGGAAAGUGGAAUUCCAUGUGUAGCGGUGAAAUGCGCAGAGAUAUGGAGGAACACCAGUGGCGAAGGCGACUUUCUGGUCUGGAACUGACGCUGAUGUGCGAAAGCGUGGGGAUCAAACAGG